CGGGCGGCGAGCGGCGCUCGGUGGGGGCGACCCCGGCGGGGACGCGACGCAGCUCCAAGCGCUCGGUGGUCUCGGCCCCCCGGCGGGGCCCGCCCUGGACAUCCCUGUCCCGCAGCCUCCUGGGCAGCUCCGACUUUGACCGACCCCGACGGAGCCCACGGCUCCAGAGCCACAAGGAGAACGACCCCUCCCCUGUCCCCCCCUCUGCCAUCUCCCC